CAUUGUCAUCAGCUGAUUCCCAGGUGAUCAUUACUGUGAUGGGGUUAUUGUUAGGUUUUGUCUUCUUUGUAGUGGUGUUUGUCACUUUGAUUGCCACGUAUUUGUCACUUCCCGCGAUUGUGGUGCGCUUCUACCUAUCGUCAGCUGACUCGUGGCAUCCUAACCCGUUAGAGGUUAGGGUUGGGCAGUUGCAGAUUCCUAGAGAAGCCAAGUGGGGUGUGAGAGACGCAAGCCGCUAGACGACCCAAGUUUAAACAGUUUAUAUGGCUUCACAUAAAUAAAAUUAUAUAUUUUAAA